rnacentral:rRNA from 1 species
UACGGAGGGAGCUAGCGUUGUUCGGAAUUACUGGGCGUAAAGCGCGCGUAGGCGGCUUUGUAAGUUAGAGGUGAAAGCCCGGGGCUCAACCCCGGAACAGCCUUUAAGACUGCAUCGCUAGAAUCCGGGAGAGGUGAGUGGAAUUCCGAGUGUAGAGGUGAAAUUCGUAGAUAUUCGGAAGAACACCAGUGGCGAAGGCGGCUCACUGGACCGGUAUUGACGCUGAGGUGCGAAAGCGUGGGGAGCAAACAGG